UAUGCAUUCCAGAACAUUACAUGAGAGACCAAAGUCCAGGUUAGCAAGUUACCUGGUUUUUGUUUGGUUUUGUUCAUAUAUGUGUGUGUGUUUUGGUUUAUUUUUCUUUCACAGUAUCAUUGAGAGAAAUUCAAAUAAGAAAAUUCAAAAAUUCAAAUAAGACUUACAAUUUUAUGUUCAUGAAAAAAAAUUAGGGUUUGUGUUAGAGCAGAAUUCUCUCCAUUUAGUCAGGUGGUACUAUUCUUUUUAUUUAAAUGUAACUUGAUGUGUUAGUGUGUAAAUACAGUCUGUGGGGAUGAGAAGGAACCAGUUCUGCCCAGUUUGAUUUGACUAUUUAAAUUAUGGAGUUGCUGAAUAGAUAUUUCUAUAUAUAGAUAAUAUUAUUUAUGUGCUUAUAGAAUCAGUCAUCAUUUUCCUACUUUUUUGUUAAUAAUCAAACAGUGGCUGCCACAGAAUUCUUGAUAACUCUUUUAGUCAUAUUUAAAACAAUCUAUAA
rnacentral:lncRNA from 1 species